CUGACGUCGGGAGCGCGGGUUUAGGCUCGAAGCGUUCCCGCGGAAUGCGUUUCCUCCGGACGGCGGCGGUUUCCUCGCAGUAAACAGCGGCAUCUAGAGGCUUCUCGCGGACAGAAGAACACUCCUGCACAGAGCUCGAGAGGCCACAUAUGCAGCAGAGGAGCGUUUAUUUUUCUGGAGGGAAGCCAGGAAUUUCCAUUUCCACAAGUACAGUUCACUGGUAAAAAUACUUCAGUCAUUCAUGAAUUCAUUUUUGGAAG